GUGACAUGUUAGGACUCUAAUGAGUUUAAGACCUAAUGAGCCUCUUAAGUGAGGCCGCCAGCAACCUUUUUUUUCUCUACAUUUUAAAAAAAAAACUAAAAUUCUACCCUUAUCGGUGGACCACUAGGCUCGUGGAUCGAUGAAGAACGCAGCAAACUGCGAUAAUUAUUGCGAACUGCAGAAGUAUUGAGCACAAAAGUUUUGAACGCAAAUGGCCGCAUUGAGGUCAAACUCUUUGCAACGUCUGGUUCAGGGUCAUU
rnacentral:rRNA from 1 species